CGGGGACGGUAAGGCCCACCAAGGCGACGAUCCGUAGCUGGUCUGAGAGGAUGAUCAGCCACACUGGAACUGAGACACGGUCCAGACUCCUACGGGAGGCAGCAGUAGGGAAUAUUGGACAAUGGGCGCAAGCCUGAUCCAGCCAUGCCGCGUGAGUGAAGAAGGCCCUCGGGUUGUAAAGCUCUUUUGUCCGGAAAGAAAAGCGCCGGGUUAAUACCCUAGGUGUCCUGACGGUACCGGAAGAAUAAGCACCGGCUAACUUCGUG
rnacentral:rRNA from 1 species